GAGACCGAGAAGGCUGAGAUCCAGACGGCUCUUGAAGAGGCUGAGGGAACUCUGGAACACGAAGAGUCUAAGAUCCUGCGUGUCCAGCUGGAGCUC